GACGAACGCUGGCGGCGUGCCUAAUACAUGCAAGUAGAACGCUGAAGGAGGAGCUUGCUUCUCUGGAUGAGUUGCGAACGGGUGAGUAACGCGUAGGUAACCUGCCUGGUAGCGGGGGAUAACUAUUGGAAACGAUAGCUAAUACCGCAUAAUAGUAGAUGUUGCAUGACAUUUGCUUAAAAGGUGCAAUUGCAUCACUACCAGAUGGACCUGCGUUGUAUUAGCUAGUUGGUGGGGUAACGGCUCACCUAGGCGACGAUACAUACCCGACCUGAGAGGGUGAUCAGCCACACUGGGACGGGGACACGCCCCAUACGCCUACAGGAGGCAGCAGUAGGGAAUCUUGGGCAAUGGACGGAAGUCUUACCGAGCAACGCCGCGUGAGUGAAGAAGGUUUUCGGAUCGUAAAGCUCUGUUGUAAGAGAAGAACGCGUGUGAGAGUGGAAAGUAGACAGUGUGACGGUAUCUUACCAGAAAGGAACGGCUAACUACGUG
rnacentral:rRNA from 1 species